UAGAUUCCACCUCAAAAGAAAAAAACAGUUCUGGUUGGCAUUUGUUUUGUUUUGGCUGCCCUAAGAGCCUCCACAUUUCCUUUUGGAAUUCACAGAUCUACAUUGUGUGUAAUCUUAGUGGGGCUGCCAUUCCUGGUGACUACAUUCCAUUACCAAAGCCGAAGGAAACAGAUCCUUGCCCUCCUUGACUCUGCAGGACCAGGGGCCAGAUGAAGAAACUAUGACACAGAGAGGCGAAGUAACUUGAUAAGAUCAAAACAAACUCUGAAUAUGCCAAUCCACUACCGUCUAGAAGACUAUGGGGUCUCUGAUGAGAAAUCAGCUAUUAAUCUUAGCAAGGAUCCUUGCAUGUGAUGAGUUACUUCUCUUGAUGCUUUCAACAUUCUCUCUUUACCUUUUGACAGUUUGAUUAUCGUGUGUCUUGGUGUAGUUUAUCCUACUUGGAGUUUCUUGAGCUUCUUAAAUGUGGUUAAUGUUUUUCCUCAAAUUUGAGAAGUUUCUGAGCAUUAUUUAUUUAAAUAUUGUUUUAGUCUGUUCAGGCUGCUAUAACAAAACACCAUAAACUGGGUAGCUUAUAAACAUCGGAAAUUUAUUUCUCACAGUUCUGGAGGUUGGGAAGUCCAAGAUCAAGGAACCGGCAGAUUUGGUAUCUGGUGAAGGACCAUUUUCUGGUUCAGACAGUGCCUUCUCACUGUGUUCUCACGUGGUAGUAGGGCAAGUGAUCUUCUUAUUACUCUAAGAGUGGUAAUCCCAUUCAUGAGGGCUCUACUCCCAUGACCCAGUCACCAUCCAAGUCCCUACCUCCCAAUACCUUGGGGGUUAGGAUUUCAGCAUAUAAAUUUAAAAGACCUCAUCAUAUAAAAAGACACAAACAUUCAGACCAGA
rnacentral:lncRNA from 1 species